rnacentral:rRNA from 1 species
GAUGAACGCUAGCUACAGGCUUAACACAUGCAAGUCGAGGGGAAACGGCAUCGAAAGCUUGCUUUUGAUGGGCGUCGACCGGCGCACGGGUGAGUAACGCGUAUCCAACCUGCCCAUCACUUGGGAAUAACCUUGCGAAAGUAAGACUAAUGCCCAAUGACAUCCCACGAAGGCAUCCGAAUGGGAUUAAAGAUUUAUCGGUGAUGGAUGGGGAUGCGUCUGAUUAGCUUGUUGGCGGGGUGACGGCCCACCAAGGCAACGAUCAGUAGGGGUUCUGAGAGGAAGGUCCCCCACAUUGGAACUGAGACACGGUCCAAACUCCUACGGGAGGCAGCAGUGAGGAAUAUUGGUCAAUGGGCGAGAGCCUGAACCAGCCAAGUAGCGUGCAGGAUGACGGCCCUGUGGGUUGUAAACUGCUUUUAUAAGGGAAUAAAGUGGGUCACGUGUGACUUUUUGCAUGUACCUUAUGAAUAAGGACCGGCUAAUUCCGUG